rnacentral:rRNA from 1 species
CCAGACAGCCAGGAUGUUGGCUUAGAAGCAGCCAUCAUUUAAAGAAAGCGUAAUAGCUCACUGGUCGAGUCGGCCUGCGCGGAAGAUGUAACGGGGCUAAACCAUGCACCGAAGCUGCGGCAGCGACACUAUGUGUUGUUGGGUAGGGGAGCGUUCUGUAAGCCUGCGAAGGUGUACUGUGAGGUAUGCUGGAGGUAUCAGAAGUGCGAAUGCUGACAUAAGUAACGAUAAAGCGGGUGAAAAGCCCGCUCGCCGGAAGACCAAGGGUUCCUGUCCAACGUUAAUCGGGGCAGGGUGAGUCGACCCCUAAGGCGAGGCCGAAAGGCGUAGUCGAUGGGAAACAGGUUAAUAUUCCUGUACUUGGUGUUACUGCGAAGGGGGGACGGAGAAGGCUAUGUUGGCCGGGCGACGGUUGUCCCGGUUUAAGCGUGUAGGCUGGUUUUCCAGGCAAAUCCGGAAAAUCAAGGCUGAGGCGUGAUGACGAGGCACUACGGUGCUGAAGCAACAAAUGCCCUGCUUCCAGGAAAAGCCUCUAAGCAUCAGGUAACAUCAAAUCGUACCCCAAACCGACACAGGUGGUCAGGUAGAGAAUACCAAGGCGCUUGAGAGAACUCGGGUGAAGGAACUAGGCAAAAUGGUGCCGUAACUUCGGGAGAAGGCACGCUGAUAUGUAGGUGAAGCGACUUGCUCGUGGAGCUGAAAUCAGUCGAAGAUACCAGCUGGCUGCAACUGUUUAUUAAAAACACAGCACUGUGCAAACACGAAAGUGGACGUAUACGGUGUGACGCCUGCCCGGUGCCGGAAGGUUAAUUGAUGGGGUUAGCGGUAACGCGAAGCUCUUGAUCGAAGCCCCGGUAAACGGCGGCCGUAACUAUAACGGUCCUAAGGUAGCGAAAUUCCUUGUCGGGUAAGUUCCGACCUGCACGAAUGGCGUAAUGAUGGCCAGGCUGUCUCCACCCGAGACUCAGUGAAAUUGAACUCGCUGUGAAGAUGCAGUGUACCCGCGGCAAGACGGAAAGACCCCGUGAACCUUUACUAUAGCUUGACACUGAACAUUGAGCCUUGAUGUGUAGGAUAGGUGGGAGGCUUUGAAGUGUGGACGCCAGUCUGCAUGGAGCCGACCUUGAAAUACCACCCUUUAAUGUUUGAUGUUCUAACGUUGGCCCGUUAUCCGGGUUGCGGACAGUGUCUGGUGGGUAGUUUGACUGGGGCGGUCUCCUCCUAAAGAGUAACGGAGGAGCACGAAGGUUGGCUAAUCCUGGUCGGACAUCAGGAGGUUAGUGCAAUGGCAUAAGCCAGC